UACACUCCUACGGGAGGCAGCAGUGGGGAAUUUUGGACAAUGGGCGAAAGCCUGAUCCAGCAAUGCCGCGUGUGUGAAGAAGGCCUUCGGGUUGUAAAGCACUUUUGUCCGGAAAGAAAUCCUUGGCUCUAAUACAGUCGGGGGAUGACGGUACCGGAAGAAUAAGCACCGGCUAACUACGUGCCAGCAGCCGCGGUAAUACGUAGGGUGCGAGCGUUAAUCGGAAUUACUGGGCGUAGAGCGUGCGCAGGCGGUUUGCUAAGACCGAUGUGAAAUCCCCGGGCUCAACCUGGGAACUGCAUUGGUGACUGGCAGGCUAGAGUAUGGCAGAGGGGGGUAGAAUUCCACGUGUAGCAGUGAAAUGCGUAGAGAUGUGGAGGAAUACCGAUGGCGAAGGCAGCCCCCUGGGCCAAUACUGACGCUCAUGCACGAAAGCGUGGGGAGCAAACAGGAUUAGAAACCCUGGUAGUCCCAUGAU
rnacentral:rRNA from 1 species